AACGCACAUUGCGCCCGCCAGCAUUCUGGCGGGCAUGCCUGUUCGAGCGUCAUUACAACACUCGACUUCCCGGGCCCAGCCCGUGGAAGUCGGCAUUGGGGAUCGGCAGCACACCGCCGGCCCUGAAAUGGAGUGGCGGCCCGUCCGCGGCGACCUCUGCGUAGUAAUCCAACUCGCACUGGAACCCCGACGUGGCCACGCCGUAAAACACCCAACUUCUGAACGUUGACCUCGAAUCAGGUAGGACUACCCGCUGAACUUAA
rnacentral:misc_RNA from 1 species